rnacentral:sRNA from 1 species
UCAGUGAAUCAUCGAAUCUUUGAACGCACCUUGCGCUCCUUGGUAUUCUGAGGAGCAUGCCUGUUUGAGUGUCAUGAAAUUCUCAACUGCCUUUUAGCAUUUAUGUUAAGGUGAAGUUGGAGUUGGAGGAUAAUUGCUGGCGUAACUUAGGUUGCUUGUUAGCUCCUCUUAAAUGGAUAAGCUUUUCUGAUAGAUCAUGGCUCAGUAAUACUAAUGUGAUAAUUAUCUACAUUAGAUGUGAAAGCUGUGAGCAGAGUAACUUUAAUUAUAAAGAAGCUCCUAUAGAAAGGGUGAAUGUUAUGGGAGUAACAAACCCAUAACUUAUGACAAAUCUGACCUCAAAUCAGGUAGGACUACCCGCUGAACUUAAGCAUAUACAAUAAGCGGAGGAAA